rnacentral:rRNA from 1 species
UACGUAGGUGACGAGCGUUGUCCGGAUUUACUGGGCGUAAAGGGCUCGUAGGCGGCCAACUAAGUCAGACGUGAAAUCCCUCGGCUUAACCGGGGAACUGCGUCUGAUACUGGAUGGCUUGAGGUUGGGAGAGGGAUGCGGAAUUCCAGGUGUAGCGGUGAAAUGCGUAGAUAUCUGGAGGAACACCGGUGGCGAAGGCGGCAUCCUGGACCAAUUCUGACGCUGAGGAGCGAAAGCCAGGGGAGCAAACGGG